GACCUCGGCACAGAAGCAGCCAGUGAAGCUGCCCACAAAGCUAAUGGGGGAGGCGUGCACGUAGGGUGACUGCAGAGAUGCGUGGAGCUGUCGUGUGCCAGAGGCUGCAGCACUCGGUUUGCAGGAGGUGGUGGAGCUGGUUCAGUUCACGAACAGCUCUGGGUAGUGCCCAGUAACAAGUUUGAGUCUCCUAACAUCUCAGUGACAAAAACCUGGCAAUGCCCAAAAAAAAUCCCAAGGAGAUGAGCUUGGAGUCAUCACAAUGCACAGAUGUCAUCCUUACAGAUUGGGAAGGAAUGAUCCAGUCACUGGGAUAUCCUAUAAGAGAGACAAAUGCCACCAGGCUGGGAUACUGCUGGUGACCUGGAUGGACAGUUUCCUCUGUGAAUAGCACUGCCCUGUCACCAUUAAGCACAUUAGUACUUUGAUGCCUCAUAUCAAAGAAACUUGGAGCUGGAGAGACGAAUUCAGGCUGACUAUCACAGAAGCAAGCCAUGCAUCUAAUCUCCUUCCCCCACUCGCUUUUUUCCUGUCUUACCUGUGCUCCUCACUGCUGUGUGAAUGAGCACAUCUGAUUGUCUAUCUAUCAGGCAAGUGUG